rnacentral:sRNA from 1 species
ACGGCGAAGAUAUACUACUUGAAAGAGUUCUCGAUGUCGAUUACAAAGCGGAAUCUCACAUCCCGGUUGAUGAGCCUCUGAAGAGCCUCGUUGACGUAGUCUAUCUUGAUCAUCUCUAUAUCUGGGUAAACAUUGUUUGCAGCACAGAAGUUUAUCAUCUCCUGGAUAUCCUUUGUACCCCCUGUUACACUACCAGCUAAGCUCCGCGCAGCUGCAUUAAGGUUUUCAGGAUGAACUUUGAUUUCACUUGGGAAGCUAAGUAGCACCAUUACACCACCAACUUUCAGAAGCGAGAGAUAAGGAUCGAACUGGUGAUCACCAGAUGCAGUAUCAAUAAUGAACAAAAAAUAUUUUUACAAUGUACCUCCAUCUGAUUUUCAUCUGAUGAUAUCACAAAAUUAUCUGCACCAAGAAGGUUGAUAGCUUCUUCUCUCUUUGAUUCACUUGUACUAAAAACUGUCACUUUGAGUCCAAAGGCUUUCCCAAAUUUUACUGCCAUGUGACCCAACCCACCUAGUCCAAUGACGCCAAGUGACUUCCCUGGUUGGUUCAUGUUAUGUCGUAUCAUUGGAGUAUAUACGGUAAUUCCCGCACAAAGCAGUGGUGCUGCCUUUGACAAAGGGUAGUCAGCAGGUAUUUUAAAGCAAGUACCUUUGAUGCACUAGUAUAUGACUGGAAUAUCCACCCUUUGUUACGGUCCCGUCUGAAUCAACACUGUUGUAAGUGACGACACAUUUCGAGCAGUGGUUCUCCAGAGAGCUAUUGCAGUUCUCGCAGUCCUGACAUGAAUUCACAUAUACGCCAACACCUACAUGGUCGCCCACUUUGAACCCCUUGACGUCUGCACCAACCUCAGUUACAACUCCAGCUAUCUCGUGCCUACUCAAAUUGAAUGGUAUAUCGAAUCGUUGAACAUAUUCCGUGUCCAAAUGACAUCAGCAUAACAUACUCCACAGUGUGUGAUCCUCAAAGAAACAUCUUCACUCUGUACUUCCCUGCGGUUGAAUUUGUACGGGGAGAGGAUUCCGGAAGGAUCUCUCGCUGCCCAAGCAUCACAGUUGCCACUCCCACAUUCAGCAGCCAUG